rnacentral:rRNA from 1 species
GACGAACGCUGGCGGCGUGCUUAAAACAUGCAAGUCGAACGGACUAUUUCAUUUCGGUGGUAAUUUCAAAUCUAGUGGCGAACGGGUGAGUAACGCGUGGACAACCUACCUCUUAGAUGGGGACAACCUCGCGAAAGCGGUGCUAAUACCGAAUGAAGUGACUUUCCUGCAUGGGAGAGAUACUAAAGGUGGCCUACGUUUAUAAGCUACCACUGAGAGUCGGGUCUGGGUCUGAUUAGCUAGUUGGCGGGGUAACGGCCCACCAAGGCGACGAUCAGUAGCCGGUCUGGGAAGAUGAACGGCCACAUUGGGAAUGAGAAACGGCCCAAACUCCUACGGGAGGCAGCAGUGGGGAAUCUUCCGCAAUGGACGAAAGUCUGACGGAGCAACGCCGCGUGAGUGAAGAAGGUUUUCGGAUCGUAAAGCUCUGUUGUUUGAGACGAAUGUGCCUGUUUCGAAUAGGGAUAGGUAAUGACGGUAUUAAACGAGAAAGCCACGGCUAACUACGUGCCAGCCGCCGCAGUAA